rnacentral:rRNA from 1 species
UACGUAGGGUGCAAGCGUUUAUCCGGAAUUAUUGGGCGUAAAGAGCUCGUAGGCGGCUUGUCGCGUCGACUGUGAAAUCCCGCGGCUCAACUGCGGGUCUGCAGUCGAUACGGGCAGGCUAGAGUUCGGUAGGGGGAGACUGGAAUUCCUGGUGUAGCGGUGAAAUGCGCAGAUAUCAGGAGGAACACCGAUGGCGAAGGCAGGUCUCUGGGCCGAUACUGACGCUGA